UGCCAGCCGCCGCGGUAAUACGUAGGGUCCAAACGUUGUCCGGAUUUACUGGGUGUAAAGGGUGCGCAGGCGGACUGGUUAGUCAGGGGUGAAAUCCCGCAGCUUAACUGCGGAACUGCCUUUGAUACUGCCAGUCUUGAGUACGGGAGAGGUAGAUGGAAUUUCUGGUGUAGCGGUGAAAUGCGUAGAUAUCAGAAAGAACACCAGUGGCGAAGGCGGUCUACUGGCCCGUAACUGACGCUCAGGCACGAAAGCGCGGGCAGCUAACGGGAUCAGAUA
rnacentral:rRNA from 1 species